rnacentral:rRNA from 1 species
UACAGAGGGGCAAGCGUUGUUCGGAAUUACUGGGCGUAAAGGGCGCGUAGGCGGCCUGCUAAGUCGAACGUGAAAUCCCCGGGCUCAACCCGGGAACUGCGUCCGAUACUGGCAGGCUUGAAUCCGGGAGAGGGAUGCGGAAUUCCAGGUGUAGCGGUGAAAUGCGUAGAUAUCUGGAGGAACACCGAGGCGGCAGGACGGCGACU